rnacentral:rRNA from 1 species
GCUGUGUGUUACAAGUGUCACACGGUACUGCCGGUCUUAAGCCGGAGGAAGUGGGGAUGACGUCAAGUCAGCAUGGCCUUUAUGUCCUGGGCUACACACACGCUACAAUGGCCAACACAAUAGGUUGCUAAGCCGCGAGGUGGAGCCAAUCCUCAAAGUUGGUCUCAGUUCAGAUUGCAGGCUGCAACCCGCCUGCAUGAAGAUGGAGUUGCUAGUAACCGCAGGUCAGCUAUACUGCGGUGAAUACGUUCCCGGGGCUU